rnacentral:rRNA from 1 species
CGCGCAGGUGGUCGAUCAAGUCUGGCGUGAAAGCCCCCGGCUUAACUGGGGAGGGUCGUCGGAGACUGGUGGACUUGAGGGCAGGAGGGGUUGGUGGAAUUCCCGGUGUAGUGGUGAAAUGCGUAGAGAUCGGGAGGAACACCCGUGGCGAAGGCGGCCAACUGGACUGACCCUGACACUGAGGCGCGAAGGCGUGGGGAGCGAACG